CAGGGGUGAACUAGUUACUUCGCUGGCCAGCUCCAAGGGCUGCCGCGACUAUAGCCGCCCCUGAUUCCCCUUCUAUUCCUGGACUCCUAGGUCCUCCACUUGCCUGCUGGGUCCCACGAAGAACAUUCCCAUGAAACGAUGCUCCCACUAGAGAAGAGAUUCCUGGAGUCCGGAGAUCAUUCUCCUCAAGCUUUGACCCAGGUGCAAGCUCCGUGACGGGCAAAAGCUAGACAGAUCCAGGAGCUGUGCGCUGGGGGCCUGCUUUUUAGAGUUACACAAACCCCUCUUCAAAGACCUCGUUUCAUGUCUAGCUGGGACACUCCGGACAAGACACCCAACUUCUCCAAGCGGAUGAAACUGUGAUCCGAUGUCCGCAGUUCCAGAGAACCCAAGUUCCUGAGUCCGGGGCGGCGGCAGUGGAGACCCUGAACCCAAGGCCAACUGGAAACCUCCUACUCAGGGCUGAGAGUCGCCAUCGAUCCUCCAUCUGGGGAAAACUGCUCUGCUGGCCGCACUCUGGACGACUGCGGGAAAGAAGAAGCCCCCAUGACCCUUCUUCCCUAGAUAAGCGCUCCAGCUGCAGGGGCCGUUGUGAGGAAACCGGGCCCUAGCAAGUUGGUCCUGUUCUGUGACUCUGGCUGUCAGACAGCACACUUCGUUGCUCACGUGUGCUGUCACCAAUUAACAAGAGGUAGAUUGGCUUUAUCUUUUGAGUAUAAAACUUGGUGCAAUCUAAGGGAUGGUUAAUGUCACCCUUCUGGCCCCUCCCACUGGCCCAUUCCAUUGGCAAAGUACAAGCACAG
rnacentral:lncRNA from 1 species